rnacentral:rRNA from 1 species
UACGUAGGUGGCAAGCGUUAUCCGGAAUUACUGGGCGUAAAGCGCACGCAGGUGGUUUGCUAAGAUUGACGUGAAAGCGCCUGGCUUAACUGGGCGAGGUCGUUGAUGACUGGCAGACUUGAGGCGAGGAGAGGGGUGUAGAAUUCCCGGUGUAGUGGUGGAAUGCGUAGAUAUCAGGAGGAACACCGGUGGCGAAGGCGGGUCUCUGGGCCGAUACUGACGCUGAGGAGCGAAAGCGUGGGGAGCUAACAGG